ensembl:misc_RNA Metazoa_SRP Metazoan signal recognition particle RNA
GCCGGGCAUGGUGGCUCAUGCCUAUAAUCCCAGCACUUUGGGAGGCCGAGGUGGGUGGAUCACCUGAGGUCAGGAGCUCAAGCCCAGCCUGACCAACAUGGGGAAACCCCAUCUCUU